GAUGAACGCUGGCGGCGUGCCUAAUACAUGCAAGUCGAGCGAACAGAUGAGGAGCUUGCUCCUCUGACGUUAGCGGCGGACGGGUGAGUAACACGUGGAUAACCUACCUAUAAGACUGGGAUAACUUCGUGAAACCGGAGCUAAUACCGGAUAAUAUAUUGAACCGCAUGGUUCAAUAGUGAAAGACGGUUUUGCUGUCACUUAUAGAUGGAUCCGCGCCGCAUUAGCUAGUUGGUAAGGUAACGGCUUACCAAGGCAACGAUGCGUAGCCGACCUGAGAGGGUGAUCGGCCACACGGGAACGGAGACACGGUCAAGACUCCUACGGGAGGCAGCAGUAGGGAAUCUUCCGCAAUGGGCGAAAGCCUGACGGAGCAACGCAGCGUGAGUGAUGAAGGUCUUCGGAUCGUAAAACUCUGUUAUUAGGGAAGAACAAAUGUGUAAGUAACUAUGCACGUCUUGACGGUACCUAAUCAGAAAGCCACGGCUAACUACGUG
rnacentral:rRNA from 1 species